rnacentral:rRNA from 1 species
GACGAACGCUGGCGGCGUGCUUAACACAUGCAAGUCGAACGGAAAGGCCCUGCUUUUGUGGGGUGCUCGAGUGGCGAUCGGGUGAGUAACACGUGAGUAACCUGCCCUUGACUUUGGGAUAACUUCAGGAAACUGGGGCUAAUACCGGAUAGGAGCUCCUGCUGCAUGGUGGGGGUUGGAAAGUUUCGGCGGUUGGGGAUGGACUCGCGGCUUAUCAGCUUGUUGGUGGGGUAGUGGCUUACCAAGGCUUUGACGGGUAGCCGGCCUGAGAGGGUGACCGGCCACAUUGGGACUGAGAUACGGACCAGACUCCUACGGGACGCAGCAGUCGGGAAUAUUGCACAAUAGGCCGAAGCCUGAUGCAGCAACGCCGCGUGCGGGAUGACGGCCUUCGGGUUGUAAACCGCUUUCGCCUGUGACGAAGCGUGAGUGACGGUAAUGGGUAAAGAAGCACCGGCUAACUACGUG